GAAUCUUACCGGGUCCGGACAUAUCGAGGAUUGACAGACAGUUACCAUGCCCUUUCGAAAGGAGUCAGGUUUUAAACCUAAUGGCUCUUUCAUGAUUAUAUGAUAGGUGGUGCAUGGCCGUUCUUAGUUCGUGGAGUGAUCUGUCUGCUUAAUUGCGUUUCAAAUUUUUAUUUGAGGACCAGGUUUUGGUUUGGGUAGUGGUCCUACGAUGACUGUGAACUGUCAUGUCUUCGGAUGUGCGACUA
rnacentral:rRNA from 1 species